GUCAGGAUGGCCGAGCGGUCUAAGGCGUUGCGUUAAGGGCGCAGUCUCCUUCUGGAGGCGAGGGUUCGAAUCCCUCUCCUGACA